rnacentral:rRNA from 1 species
AUUGAACGCUGGCGGCAGGCCUAACACAUGCAAGUCGAACGGUAACAGGUCUUCGGAUGCUGACGAGUGGCGAACGGGUGAGUAAUACAUCGGAACGUGCCCGAGAGUGGGGGAUAACGAGGCGAAAGCUUUGCUAAUACCGCAUACGAUCUCAGGAUGAAAGCAGGGGACCGCAAGGCCUUGUGCUCAUGGAGCGGCCGAUGGCAGAUUAGGUGGUUGGUGGGAUAAAAGCUUACCAAGCCGACGAUCUGUAGCUGGUCUGAGAGGACGACCAGCCACACUGGGACUGAGACACGGCCCAGACUCCUACGGGAGGCAGCAGUGGGGAAUUUUGGACAAUGGGCGCAAGCCUGAUCCAGCCAUGCCGCGUGCAGGAUGAAGGCCUUCGGGUUGUAAACUGCUUUUGUACGGAACGAAAAGACUCCUUCUAAUAAAGGGGGUCCAUGACGGUACCGUAAGAAUAAGCACCGGCUAACUACGUGCCAGCAGCCGCCGUAACAC